rnacentral:rRNA from 1 species
UACGUAGGGUGCAAGCGUUAAUCGGAAUUACUGGGCGUAAAGCGUGCGCAGGCGGUGAUGUAAGACAGGUGUGAAAUCCCCGGGCUUAACCUGGGAACUGCAUUUGUGACUGCAUCGCUGGAGUGCGGCAGAGGGGGAUGGAAUUCCACGUGUAGCAGUGAAAUGCGUAGAGAUGUGGAGGAAUACCGAUGGCGAAGGCAGCCCCCUGGGAUAACACUGACGCUCAUGCACGAAAGCGUGGGGAGCAAACAGG